CCCUUAGAUGUCCUGGGCUGCACGCGUGCUACAAUGAUACGUGCAACGAGUUAAUCCUGCUCUGAAAGGAGUGGGUAAUCUUAUGAAUGCGUAUCGUGCUUGGGAUUGACCAUUGUAAUUAUUGGUCAUGAACGAGGAAUUCCUAGUAAGCACAAGUCAUCAGCUUGUGCUGAUUACGUCCCCGCCCUUUGUACACACCGCCCGUCGCUCCUACCGAUUGAGUGUUCCGGUGAAUUAUUCGGACUGCAACAGUUAUCUGUCGCGGAAAGUCUUGUGAACCUUAACACUUAGAGGAAGGAAAAGUCGUAACA
rnacentral:rRNA from 1 species